rnacentral:rRNA from 1 species
UGAGUAAUGUAUGAGCAACCUGCCUUCCAGAGGGGGACAACAGUUGGAAACGACUGCUAAUACCGCAUAAUGUAUUUUGAGGGCAUCCUCGGGAUACCAAAGGAGCAAUCCGCUGAAAGAUGGGCUCAUAUCUGAUUAGUUAGUUGGCAGGGUAACGGCCUACCAAGACUGCGAUCAGUAGCCGGACUGAGAGGUUGAACGGCCACAUUGGGACUGAGAUACGGCCCAGACUCCUACGGGAGGCAGCAGGUGGGGAAUAUUGGGCAAUGGGCGAAAGCCUCGACCCAGCAACGCCGCGUGAAGGAAGAAGGUCUUCGGAUUGUAAACUUCUUUUAUGAGGGACGAAGGACGUGACGGUACCUCAUGAAUAAGCCACGGCUAACUACGUGCCAGCCGCCGC